rnacentral:rRNA from 1 species
AGAGUUUGAUCCUGGCUCAGAUUGAACGCUGGCGGCAUGCCUUACACAUGCAAGUCGAACGGCAGCACGGGAGCAAUCCUGGUGGCGAGUGGCGAACGGGUGAGUAAUAUAUCGGAACGUGCCCAGUCGUGGGGGAUAACGCAGCGAAAGCUGUGCUAAUACCGCAUACGAUCUCUGGAUGAAAGCGGGGGACUCGCAAGGGCCUCGCGCGAUUGGAGCGGCCGAUAUCAGAUUAGCUAGUUGGUGGGGUAAAAGCCCACCAAGGCGACGAUCUGUAGCUGGUCUGAGAGGACGACCAGCCACACUGGAACUGAGACACGGUCCAGACUCCUACGGGAGGCAGCAGUGGGGAAUUUGGUCAAUGGGCGCAAGCCUAAUCCAGCAAUGCCGCGUGCAGGAUGAAGGCCUUCGGGUUGUAAACU